AAGUAUACCUCGACUAAACUUCGUAAAACUUAAAAAUAAAAUAAAUUUCUGUACCACAAAAAGUACCGCUACAAGCUACAGUGUUGAGAAAUAUGCACAGCACUUGAAAAUUUUGAGUGGUAAGCUUUGCGUGGCCACGAAUGCGAAAAUAGAAAUCAAGGCAAAUUUUUUUAACUAAAACUUUCUUUUUUGCUGAUUAACAAGAUGAGAAAGAAUGUUUGAAGUAAGUUUACAAAAAUGGCUGGACAUUGCUAGUAGUGAUAUCACACGAUAUCUGUUUAAGGUGCAGCGGCUUGGUGGUUAUACGUUUAAUCAAACCGCUGCCUUUGAAACUGCACAAUGAAAGAGAAACUUUCCAAUAUCAUCUAUGACAUCGAGAUGGAACAGUUGUGUGAUAAAGGUUUUGAUGUGCUAAUCCCAUCGCAUUUAACAAACGUUGAAGGACAAGACAUCGCUGGGUCAGUGUUUAACACCAUACAAACGGGCGAUAUCGAUAUACUUGUAUGACUGGAAUUGUACAAGCAUAUCGUGCGCGUGUGGAUGUUAUUGAAAAUGAAAAAAUGUUACAGAAAAAAAUUUAAAAAUAUUCUAUUUUGCACAAAUUUAAAAAUCAUCACGAAGAUCCGCUACAACUAAAAGAUUCGGUCGUUAUUUUGGCUGAGAUGGCAAAGGAUCGCGAUGGUUUUUGGAUGUGUGUACGAAACAAGAAAAUUAAGAAAAGUAUUACCGUAACUUUCAAGGAGCUCACAACUUCUCUAUUCGUACCUAACCAUUCCAACCCUGAAUUCUAAAAUUAAUCAACCUUUUAUGUUUUGACAAGGAAAGGUUGUCGUCAUUUGUUAAAUAUCUGAAACAUUUGAUAUUUGCUUUUGUUCUCAGUAGGCUUAUACAAUGUGCAGACCGCAACUUAAUCACACGAUUUCGGCUGCUGACUAGUUUAUCCCACUAAUCUUAAAAAUUUAUAAAGAUUUUGCCAAAAUGACAGUUCGAAAUCACUUCUUCGAAGUGAUUCGAAACUGAUCCACUCUAAAUCUCUCGUUGCGACUCUGAUUUUGCGCCAUCUACUUCUCAGGAGGAUGGAGUCAUGUGUAGAAGUGGAGGAUGGAGUCAUGUGUAGAAGUUGGAGGAUGGAGUCAAGUGUGGAAGUUCACGCAAGUGAGGAAAGUUCUCUGAUCGCCAUUCACUUGGGAGUGGCCAGAAACGAUUCUUUUAAACAUGGCUCAAGCAGCUCACUACUUCCGGUCUUUGACCAAGUAUCCUCUGGGUAGCCUCAGAACAUCCGUUCGAAAGCGAGCUAAUAUGAGAAGACGAAACAUCCCCUACAUAAGGUUGUGCGCUGGGUUUGGGACCCGCCACGUAAAAAAACACCCCCAAUGAAAGGAAGCAACAAGGCUCGGAUGAGAGACCCCCCUUUUGAUGACGACCAUGGCAAACAAGGAAAGGGACAAGGGACAAGGACAGAGACGAAUAGGUCCUUGUGACAUUUACUACAGUGGCCAUAUAAAGGAGCGGAUGACUAUCAUUCACUACGGUGAAUGAACGUCUAGCCACAAUCCGCAUCAAAGCGAUGUUCUUCAACAUAUCGCUGAUUUGCGCCCACGCCCCGACGGAAGAGAAGGACGAUGUGAUCAAAGAUGCCUUCUAUGAGCGCUUGGAGCGCCCUUAUGAGAGCUGCUCCCGCCACGAUGUCAAAAUCGUGCUUGGCGACUUUAACGCCAAGUUGGGCAAAGAAGGUAUCUUUGGCACUACGGUCGGUAAAUUCAGCCUCCACGACGAAACUUCCCCAAAUGGGUUGAGGCUGAUUGACUUCGCCGGGGCCCGAAAUAUGGUUGUCUGUGGUACUAGUUUCCAGCACAAGAAGAUACAUCAAGCUACCUGGCUGUCUCCGGAUCGAAAAGCCACCAACCAGAUCGAUCAUGUUGUGAUAGACGGAAGACACGUCUCCAGUGUUCUUGACGUGCGUACGCUCCGAGGUCCUAACAUCGACUCGGACCACUUUCUUGUUGCAGCCAAGAUUCGCACCCGCCUCUGUGCAGCAAAAAACGCACGUCAAAAAACACAAGGAAGGUUCGACGUCGAGAAGCUGCAAUCACAAAAGACAGCCGAACGAUUUGCUACUCGGCUUGCGGGAUGGGAUAGAUAUUGAGAGUUGAAGAGGGAAGCGAGACGCAUUUGCAGACAGAAAAGAAAGAGGUUGAAAUGCGUGAGUAUGAUGAGCUUGAUAAGCUGGCCGACAGGGUUAAUGCUCUAAAAUUCUAUGAAAAAAUGCGGCGCCUUACAGAAGGUUUCAAAACCGGAGCAUACUCUUGUAUGACCCCCAAAGGUGAUCUAGUCACCGAUGCCCAGAGCAUACUUAAAUUAUGGAGGGAACACUUCUCCAGCCUGCUGAAUGGCAGUGAA